rnacentral:ncRNA from 1 species
AAAAAUGUCUUCGAGCCUCUGCUCCUAAGGCGCUGCUAUGGAGCCUUGUGCCGGUCGGGAAACCGACAAAGGGUUGCGUUUGGAAACGAAGCAGCCUUCCGUGUUUGAAAAGGAGAC